CCCUUAGAUGUCCUGGGCCACACGCGCGCUACACUGACAUGUUCAACAAGUUUCUCCUAGUUCGACAGGACUGGGAAAUCUUUGAACGCAUGUCGUGAUAGGGAUAGAUCAUUGCAAUUAUUGAUCUUGAACGAGGAAUUCCUAGUAAACGCGAGUCAUCAGCUCGCAUUGAUUACGUCCCUGCCCUUUGUACACACCGCCCGUCGCACCUACCGAUUGAAUGUUUCGGUGAAGAUUCCGGAUAGGACUGAUUUGAUUUAUUUCAUUUCUGACCUAAAAGCUAUCUAAACCUCAACAUUUAGAGGAAGGUGAAGUCGUAACA
rnacentral:rRNA from 1 species